rnacentral:rRNA from 1 species
CGAGGAGACGCUGGCGGCGUGGAUUAGGCAUGCAAGUCGGACGGUAGGGCUUUAUCGUAAGAUAGAGUUUGAGAGUGGCGAACGGGUGAGUAACACGUAGGAAUCUACCCUUAAGACGGGGACAACCCAGGGAAACUUGGGCUAAUACCGGAUGAGAGUGCGAGAGAUUGCAUUUAAAAGGAUGGCGAAAGUUGUCGCUUAGGGAUGAGCCUGCGGUCUAUUAGUUAGUUGGUGAGGUAAGAGCUCACCAAGGCGAUGAUAGAUAGGCGGCCUUAACGGGUGGUCGCCCACACUGGGAUUGAGAUACGGCCCAGACUCCUACGGGAGGCAGCAGUCGAGAAUAGUCUACAAUGGCCGGAAGGCUGAUAGUGCGACGCCGCGUGAACGAGGGAGCCCUUCGGGGUGUAAAGUUCUUUUAUACGUGAGCAGUGCCCUUUAUAUGAAUAGUAUAGAGGGAGGGAUUUAAGCGUAUGAAUAAGCAACGGCUAACUCCGUG